AUACGGCAGAAGGGAGCGGCCGAAGAGUGAACUGUCAAAACUUAUCACACAUUUGAUUUCCAUGUGUGACAACUGCAAGUGUCCAGAGUGAGGUCAGACUGAUGGACCCACUGCUGUACAUCAUCUGUGAGGCUUUGCACCCCUGAUGAUCCACCAGGACAAACUCAGCA